rnacentral:rRNA from 1 species
GACAGAGGAUGCAAGCGUUGUCCGGAAUUAUUGGGCGUAAAGAGCUCGUAGGCGGUUUGUCGCGUCGAAUGUGAAAACCCGGGGCUCAACCCCGGGCCUGCAUUCGAUACGGGCAGACUAGAGUUCGGUAGGGGAGUCUGGAAUUCCUGGUGUAGCGGUGAAAUGCGCAGAUAUCAGGAGGAACACCGGUGGCGAAGGCGGGACUCUGGGCCGAUACUGACGCUGAGGAGCGAAAGCGUGGGGAGCGAACAGG